rnacentral:rRNA from 1 species
UACGUAGGCAGCGAGCGUUGUUCGGAAUUACUGGGCGUAAAGAGUGUGUAGGCGGUGCUCCCAGUCUGUUGUGAAAUCUCCCGGCUUAACUGGGAGGGUGCAGCGGAAACUAGAGUGCUAGAGGGUGGGAGAGGUAAGCGGAAUUCCUGGUGUAGCGGUGAAAUGCGUAGAUAUCAGGAGGAACACCUGUGGUGUAGACAGCUUACUGGACCACUUCUGACGCUGAGACACGAAAGCGUGGGCAGCAAACAGG